ensembl:lncRNA
GGCCGGGGUGGGGCGCUGCGCACCGUGCGGGGGGGGGGGGUCGCGGGACGUGCCCGGCGCCACGGCGCGCGUGGGCGGACACGGCUGCGGUGUCGGGAACGGCCUCCUGCGCCCUGACACGAGCACUGCGGCCCUCCCCGGUUAACGGGAGUUGGUUACGAAGAUGUCCGACGGGGGAGCCGGCAGGCGCUCGCUACGAGCACUCUGGACACAAGGACACACACUGCCUGUUAUACCACAACAAGAGAUGCGGAUAACAUCCUUUUGUGUAAAAAUCCAUCUUGGGAACAAUGAGACAGCAUCAUCUCCACAUCACACUGCUUUCCAUCCUGUGAUCAUUAAUUCAGGCACGAUCUGGAAACUGCUCUGCAGCCCAUCCCACAGCAUGCGGGGUCUCCUUGUUGUGUCCAGUGGGUCAGGAAGGAAGGAAAAAAGCCAUGGAGUUACAAGAAUUCCCAAAGGGCAGCAAGUACAAACAGACAUUGUAAAAACACGCAAACAAAAAUACUUCAUUAUUUUAAAUGCAAAAGGCAUUUUCUGUUGUCAGAUGCAAGCAAACUGCAUUGCUUUUACAAAGAGAGGCUGUUAGCAACAAACUAGCUGACCCAUGCUUAAAAGCAUUCCAGGGAUACUUACCCCCUUGGGAGACCAGAAAUACCAGAGAAGCCAUUUUCAUACAGCCUGACUGUUCCUACCAGCACCAGGCUUGAAUUAGGCUUAUGCUUGUCAGAGAAUACAGAAAGAGCCUAACUUUAUCUCAGAGGAACACAGAAACCUACCCUCCAGCUUUCAGGCUGACCUUGGCCAUUUAUUGGCCCCGUGCUUGGCAUGGUUUCUCAGAUAGUGACAAGAAUGUAAGUGAUAUCUGGGGUGGUAACAGGCAUGUGUGAAGGAAAUGGUUUGGCUGUGCAGAUUUCCAGGAACUUUAAGACAAGCCAAUUGGGCUCAAAUGACACUGAGAAACUAGAGUGCACCAAUGGCAACAGGAUGCACCUUUUUGUGCAAUAAACAGCCAUGAGGGUCACUUGCACUUUUCGCUCUAUAACCCCAGGCCAUGAGUCUGUUAUUAAAACCUAUUAAGAGCAUGCUUGUCAAUAAAAGCCCAUGAAAGAAUGCCUGCAUUCUAUGCUAGAAUAGUAAUUAAAAAAGUAGAAUUUUUUAAAGUGUUUUCUGUCCAUUAGCACAUUUUCAUCUGCUCUGACACUCAAGGUUUCUUCAUCUUCAUCCUCACUUGACCAAAGCAGCAUAAGCACCUCAGUCCCCAGAUGUCCACGGUCAGUUGCAGGCCCCUCUGCCUUCCAGAGGUGUGACCACCUCUGCAGCUCCUCCAGGCCCUGCCAAGGAAGGGAUUAGGGGAAUGCCAGUAGUGGGCCAUCGUGUGAUUGUUCUGACAUGGAGAUCCCAGUUGUUUUAAGCAUGCAACCCAUUGGUUCUCUCUCCUUUUCUGCACAUUCACCCACAUCUCAGACUCUUAUACGUUUAUAUAUAAACCCCUCCAUGCUACUAUUUCUGUUUUAUCCUUUCCCUCCCACCUUAUGCACCCAUUAGAAUUUUGAAAGCCUUUGAAUUCCAAAAGCAUAUGAAAAGUUGUUCAUCACUGUCUGGUCCCAUCUGCUUCUGCAUAUACAUACGGCAAGCAGAAAUUUCUUUAUGAAAUGUUCCUGCUGAGCAUUUCCACAGCUAUGUCCCAAACCACACACUAAUUGGCUUCUACACCUACACUCUCUCCUCUCCCUGCCUCUGUUCUGUUUUUAACUUAAUCAUUCUCCUUCAUCUUUUCUCUCUUCCUGUUGUCGCAAGUCAGCUUUAAUUUUAUAUUUUCAUUUCAGAAGUUUGCAUCUAAGGUUAUUUUGCACUCUGCCUCCACAGGUCAGGUAAGCAAGGGCUAUGAGUGCGCUCGUGGCCCCAGCUCUCGGCUCUUCUAUCUGCUCUGCAGUGCCCUGCAUUGUCAACUGUGCUUGUUCAGGAGAUUGAACUGGGCACAGCUCCAGGAGCUAUGACCAGCAGUAAAUACAGAGUCUUCAAAUAACUUUCUUAAAAUAUCGCUGUGUGAUAAUUAGAGGAAAGCAGAUUAUUGGCAAAUAAAGAAUUGGCUUCAUCCUGCCUUUGCACACCCACUGACUGGCAGGUGCCUGCCUCCCCAGGGUCUGCAGCCUCUGACAGAGAGAGACAUGCUUUGGCUUCUCAUUCCUCUCACUCACACUCCUAACUUUACCCACAAUGAGAACAACCCAUACAAACUCAUUUCUGUCUCUGCUAUAUGUUUGGGCCCAGUGCCCAGAGCCAGCUUUGUCUAGUCUUAAAGUGCUUAUUGACAACUUCAGGAAUACUUGAUGAGGCAUUUUGUCUUGCGGUCUUUGUUUCCUUCUUUUACUUGUUUAAUUAAAUUUGAUAUUAUACUGAAACAAUGUGCUAACACAGUACCCAUCUUUCAUAAUGAUCAAAUGCAGAGAUUAUAUUUAAAGGCCUACAGAGCAGCCCUAAAUCCAACACAGAGCAUGCUGCCAAAAGAAUCUAAAAAAAAAAAAAGCAAGACAGGGAAGAAAAAUGGAUUCUUUUUUCCUUCCCAAUGAAAACAGUCUGUCCCACCUACUCACUUUAAUACUUCCCAAAUGCUUUCUAUCAAGCGCUCCUGAGCAAAGAGAGAAACCAUCCAAGAGCACAGAAGAAAUAAAAAAACAACACACAAAUAUUGUGAAGUAGCCAUCAAAGAUAUUUGUCUAAUAAAACAUUUCAAUAACGUCAAGGUAUGAUCUCUUCCAUGUUGAGUUCUCCAGUCUGUCUCCAUGUUCUCCCCAUUGACCCUUCUCACAAGUGUUAGGAGAAUCAGCAAGGAAUACUGGCAGAGCUGGCUGUGACUUGCAAGGUCAUUGCUAGCAGCUCAGUACAGGGUGCUGCUGGUUAGAUAUUAGGAGGAAGUU